AACGAACGCUGGCGGCGUACUUAACACAUGCAAGUCGGACGAAGAAAGGGGGCUUUCGGUUUUCCCGAGUAAAGUGGCGAACGGGUGCGUAACACGUAAGUAAUCUACCCUAAACACUGGGAUAACCUUCCGAAAGGAGGGAUAAUACCGGAUAGGUCCCUAAGGACUGUAGUCUUGGGGGGAAAGCAGGCCUCUGCUUCAUGCUUGCAGUUUAGGAUGAGCUUGCGGCUCAUUAGCUAGUUGGUAGGGUAAGAGCCUACCAAGGCAACGAUGGGUAGCUGGUCUGAGAGGAUGAUCAGCCACACUGGCACUGAGACACGGGCCAGACUCCUACGGGAGGCAGCAGUGGGGAAUUUUGCGCAAUGGGCGAAAGCCUGACGCAGUAACGCCGCGUGGAGGAUGAAGGCCUUCGGGUUGUAAACUCCUGUCAGGGGGAACGACGGUAAAGAGAUGAAGAAUCUUUUUUGCCAGACGGUACCUCCAAAGGAAGCCCCGGCUAAUUCCGUGCCAGCAGCCGCGGUAA
rnacentral:rRNA from 1 species